rnacentral:rRNA from 1 species
GAUGAACGCUAGCUACAGGCUUAACACAUGCAAGUCGAGGGACCGGCGCACGGGUGAGUAACCCGUAUCCAACCUGCCCUUUCAUCGGGGAUAGCCUUUCGAAAGCAAGAUUAAUACCCGAUAUAAAGGAUGGGGAUGCGUUCCAUUAGGUUGUUUGUGAGGUAACGGUUCACCAAGCCUUCGAUGGUUAGGGGUUCUGAGAGGAAGGGCCCCCACAUUGGAAAUGAUACACGGGCCAAACUCCUACGGGAGGCAGCAGGUAGGAAUAUUGGUCAAUGGGCGCUAGCCUGAACCAGCCAAGUAGCGUGAAGGAUGAAGGCUUAUGGGGCGUAAACUUCUUUUAUAUAAGAAUAUGUAUUAUAGGAAUAAGGAUCGGCUAAAUCCGUGCCAGCAGCCGCGGUAAUUC